UUAGGGUUUUCUUUAUGGCUCAUUAUCAAAGGGUUUGAGGAAAUUCAAAGCAUCAAAACCUACCUUUAUGUACUGCAGGCCACCAAACCAGAAAACCCCGAAUCCGAUCUUCGGAUUCCUCAGAGUUGUUGAUCAACUGUGCUUGCAACGAACGAAAAGUAGGGCAUCUUCCUAAGGAUGCAGAACCCAAUGCUGUACAAGAAACGGGUGAAAAUGAAGAUGAAGAUGGCGCCGUACCCCAUCAUGACGAAUCGAAAACCCAAACCCAUCUCGAUGUGAAAGAUCUUCUGCAAUAGUAACAGGAUUACGAGAAGGACAUCCAGGAUGACGGCCUACAUGGGAUUGAAGCGGACAUAAUGGUUGAAGCUAGGGCUUCAGAUGAAGCUAAGAUAGAGGGCAAAGAAGGCCAUAGUUGAGUUCUGUCUCAACUAUAUAUGGUAAGACAAAACCUACCCAAACCUCCAAUCAAAGAUCUGCCAAUGAAGACAAUGGAGGGACAUUUGGGAGGUUUUCAACUUGCCCAAGUAUAAUGAAAUGAAGCCACAAAGUCCAAUGGAGAGACAUUGGGGAGGUUUUCAAAGAGUAAGUAGUUCUAGAUUUAGUGGUCUAUUUUCAAAUGAUAAGUUCCAAUUCAAUAUCUCAAGUAGCAUCAAAGUUGCUGGAAAUGAAACACGGUCUCUGUCCCUUAUUAGUCCUCUUGUUGACGGGCUUAAUUUAUACUUCAUUUUCUUAAGAGUAUUAACCCCCUUGCUUUGGAGUUAUUGGACAAAAUGCUAACUCAAGAUCCAUCUAAGGUAUUAUUUUUCUAAUGAAUUUACUUAUUUUUAUUUUUUUUUCGUUUGUCAAAUUGAUGUAAAUGUAUAAAUAUCUCUUGUUGUGGGGACUAGUGGGAAUUCGGACUUUGUGUGCUCAAUGAUUAGCAUGACUAUGAGCUACCUUCUUACUCUAUAGAUAGUUCUUUGAUUUUAUAUUAUUUAUUCUGUUAGAUAUUUGAAAUCCAAUGGUUUAAAUGCUGAUGGAUCUUGUUCUAAAGAUAUAGGGCUCCUUAUGGAAUCUGUCUUGUGGGUCCUUGGGGAAAGAAUGAAGUCGACUCCACAGCUACCAUGGAUAAGGAUAUAGUUGUUUAACUUUUAUCGAUUACCUUGAAUUCCUUAACCACAUCAUUGGGUUUGGGUGGCAAGAAAAAAGAAAGCAUAGAAGAGAGAACCUUUUGGCCUGGAAUAAGGCCAGCUCAGUCAUUAAGAGGGCCACAUUUUAGGAAAGAAGAGUCCAAGAUGAUGAUGUGAUACUAAGUUGGCCAGUCCUGUUCUUGGCUCAGUAAAUCUUCUCAGCAGGACCACAUGAUGGACAACUUAGAUAUCAUCCAUGUGUACCAUGAUUAGAGGCAUGUGGAUGGGCUUGCUGCUCUAUAUAUAACAUAAUUGUUUCACCAUAUUAGCACUUUCCUGAUUCCUCAUCCCUGGGUUGCUGGUAGAUGGUUCAUACAUAAAAUCAUUAGUGGAUUUUGUUAGUUGAUGUUGGAGCCAUUAUUUAAGAAUAGUACAUUGGGCUAGUUUUUGUGUCCUACAACUGACAACAUGUUGACAAAUUUAGCUUCUAGAAAGAAGAUUCUGAAUUCUUAUUUGUUUUCAGAAAGAAAGAAGAUUAGCUUCUAAUAUUGGAGAAGAUAAUACAUGGGGUUCCGGUUUCGCUCAUUACUCAUGAAUUGAUGUGGUUUCUGUUGUUUGGACAACAUGGGAAUACUGAAGUGUAUACAUCUUUGGAAAGAUGCAAACCACUAAUUGUAGUUUGUGUUCUUGCUAUUUCUAGUUAGUUAUAGUGCCCAUGUUACUGACGUCCCAUUUGGUUUGUCUACAGUGAUUUCAGCUAAUUCAUGAAUUGUACUUAUAUGUACUAUCUACAUCACAAAGGACAAAACUUAUACGAGCAACACUGGCAACAUUGCAUGCUUUUCUAUCAUGGAUUCCUCUAGGCUAUAUAUUUGAAUCCCCGCUGCUGGAAACAGUCCUAAAGUUCUUUCCCAUGCCAUUGUAUAGGAAUCUUAUUCUCCCGUGUUUAACGAAGGUAAGAAUCCAUUUCAUGGUUUAAUAGAAAUCUAUAUUUUAGCAUUUUUCUUUGUUAGUAGUGAUUAUUCUAUGUUUCCUAAUGUCAUGCUGUUCACAGGUUGCGUCCCUUCAAUUUGAAGAUUACUAUGACUUGCAAUAUGUUAAAAUGUACACUAUUUUCAUGGUGCAA